rnacentral:rRNA from 1 species
AAGCCAGACUCCUACGGGAGGCAGCAGUGGGGAAUAUUGCACAAUGGGGGAAACCCUGAUGCAGCAACGCCGCGUGAGUGAAGAAGUAUUUCGGUAUGUAAAGCUCUAUCAGCAGGGAAGAAGAAGGACGGUACCUGACUAAGAAGCCCCGGCUAACUACGUGCCAGCAGCCGCGGUAAUACGUAGGGGGCGAGCGUUAUCCGGAUUUACUGGGUGUAAAGGGAGCGUAGACGGUUAAUCAAGUCUGAAGUGAAAGCCCGCGGCUCAACUGCGGAACGGCUUUGGAAACUGAGUGACUGGAGUGCUGGAGGGGCAGGCGGAAUUCCUGGUGUAGCGGUGAAAUGCGUAGAUAUCAGGAGGAACACCGGUGGCGAAGGCGGCUUACUGGACGAUGACUGACGCUGAGGCUCGAAAGCGUGGGGAGCAAACAGGAUUAGAUACCCGAGUA